rnacentral:rRNA from 1 species
UACGAAGGGGGCUAGCGUUGUUCGGAAUUACUGGGCGUAAAGCGCGUGUAGGCGGCCUGCUAAGUCUGAUGUGAAAGCCCGGGGCUCACCCCCGGAAGUGCAUUGGAAACUGGUAGGCUCGAGUCCCGGAGAGGAGGGUGGAAUUCCUGGUGUAGCGGUGAAAUGCGUAGAUAUCAGGAGGAACACCGGUGGCGAAGGCGGCCCUCUGGACGGUGACUGACGCUGAGACGCGAAAGCGUGGGGAGCAAACAGG